rnacentral:lncRNA from 1 species
AAGAUGCUUUUCGAGAGACGGAGCGGUGGUGGCCGGUUGAACAGAGCACGCCAGAAUGGGGACCAUGGUCCUGGCCCGAGGAGAGUCCCAGAUCCUUCCUUCCCCCUGACUGUCCUGCAGUGACUGGAGAUAAUUUCUACACCCACCCUCACCACGCAAACAGACCAACUAUCUCCUCUAAGACCCCGGGAACCUACAGAGACUGACUCACAAUGAAACCCUGCUCCUUCCUCCUUCCACCCUCCACUUUAAUUUGCUACAGAGGGAGAGUGAUCUAAAAGGUCUCAUCUCAUCCAAAUGCAGAUAAAUGUGGCCUGCUUUGAGCAUACAGUACCCACGCCAGCUGAGAGGUCUGCACCACUGUACAAUUGUCAAGGGAAAAAAAAAUUAGUGCUUCUAAUUCAAGGACAAAAAUAAAAUCGCUCU